GGCUCGAUAGCGGACGGUCCGCGCCUGCCUACCUGUAUAGAUGGGAAACUUAGGAAUCGUCCAGCAGGUGACGCCCGUUCGACUCGGGCUCGGGCCA